ACACGACUCUCGGCAAUGGAUAUCUCGGCUCUCGCAUCGAUGAAGAGCGCAGCGAAAUGCGAUACGUGGUGCGAAUUGCAGAAUCCCGCGAACCAUCGAGUCUUUGAACGCAAGUUGCGCCCGAGGCCAACCGGCCGAGGGCACGUCCGCCAGGGCGUCAAGC
rnacentral:rRNA from 1 species